UACGUAGGGGGCAAGCGUUGUUCGGAUUUACUGGGCGGAAAGCGCGUGUAGGCGGCUUGGCAAGUCGGAUGUGAAAGCCCACGGCUCAACCGUGGAAGCGCAUCCGAAACGGCCUCGCUCGAGUCUCGGAGAGGAAGGUGGAAUGCUUGGUGUAGAGGUGAAAUUCGUAGAUAUCAAGCAGAACACCUGCGGCGAAGGCGGCCUUCUGGACGAUGACUGACGCUGAGACGCGAAAGCGUGGGGAGCAAACAGG
rnacentral:rRNA from 1 species